AUCACAAGCGAGAUCACUAAUGCCAAAGGCCGUCAUUUCCUCCCUCCAUCGGCUGGCCAUGGCGGAGCACGGAGCUGAGUGUCGCUGGCUGGCAUCGCCACACCCAAGCGUGCUCGCUCGGUCUCGUCGCAUCUCCAUCUCCAUCGACGGAGAGGACAGUUAUGCACAUGCAUCUGAAGACCCAAGAUGGCUGUGUGGCGCCGACACAAUCUCCUGACACAACUUACCUGAGUGACACAACUUACCUGACACAACUUACCACAGCCCUGAUAAUUUCUUCUUUAUGGAACAUUGUGAAAGACCCAGACCAACAUGGCUGUGCGGCCACUGACAUCACCUCUCCACACAUCCUUCUGACACAGCCUCCUGACACAUCCUUCUGACACAGCCUUCUGACACAGCCUCCUGACAGCCUCCUGACACAGCCUUCUGUCACAUCCUUACAAUCCUCACAGCAACUUGAUAUUUACUUCAAGAUGGAAGAUUGUGUAAGGACCAUACUCUCUACCUGAAGACGUUUGACAAAUGUCUAACAGUUGGGGAGACCUCAUCUCUCCAAAUGGCGACGUGCGAUGGAAAUUUGAAUCAAAGAUGGAUAUUCGAGAAAUCUAAAUUUGAAAACCAACGCGUUCUCAGGAAUUACAGAUAAACCGUCAUUCAUGAACUCAUUCAUCAUUCAGAACAGGCGCCGAAAUUCGCUGUGCAGAGUUGCGUCCCUUGGGCGCACCAGAAACCGAUGAUUGUUUGUUCGAAUCCCGGUUCGCCUUGAUUAUGUCCUAGGUUUGUCAGCACC
rnacentral:misc_RNA from 1 species